rnacentral:rRNA from 1 species
CACGUAGGGUGCGAGCGUUGUCCGGAAUUAUUGGGCGUAAAGAGCUCGUAGGCGGUGUGUCGCGUCGGCCGUGAAAACCUGCAGCUUAACUGUGGGCUUGCGGUCGAUACGGGCAUCACUGGAGUUCGGCAGGGGAGACUGGAAUUCCUGGUGUAGCGGUGAAAUGCGCAGAUAUCAGGAGGAACACCGGUGGCGAAGGCGGGUCUCUGGGCCGAUACUGACGCUGAGACGCGAAAGCGUGGGGAGCAAACAGG